UACGGAGGAGGCAAGCGUUAUCCGGAAUUAUUGGGCGUACAGCGUCCGCAGGUGGCACUUCAAGUCUGUCGUCAAAGACUGGGGCUUAACCCUGGAAAGGCGGUGGAAACUGAAGCGCUAGAGUGCGGUAGGGGUAGAGGGAAUUCCCGGUGUAGCGGUGAAAUGCGUAGAGAUCGGGAAGAACAUCGGUGGCGAAAGCGCUCUACUGGACCGCAACUGACACUCAGGGACGAAAGCUAGGGGAGCGAAUGGG
rnacentral:rRNA from 1 species